rnacentral:rRNA from 1 species
GAUGAACGCUGGCGGCGUGCUUAACACAUGCAGGUCGAACGGAAGGGCCCCAGCUUGCUGGGGUACUCGAGUGGCGAACGGGUGAGUAACACGUGGGUGAUCUGCCCUGCACUUUGGGAUAAGCUUGGGAAACUGGGUCUAAUACCGAAUAUGACCACUUCUUGGAUGUUGUGGUGGAAAGCUUUUGCGGUGUGGGAUGAGCCUGCGGCCUAUCAGCUUGUUGGUGGGGUAAUGGCCUACCAAGGCGGCGACGGGUAUCCGGCCUGAGAGGGUGUACGGACACAUUGGGACUGAGAUACGGCCCAGACUCCUACGGGAGGCAGCAGUGGGGAAUAUUGCACAAUGGGCGCAAGCCUGAUGCGGCGACGCCGCGUGGGGGAUGAAGGCCUUCGGGUUGUAAACUCCUUUCGCUAUCGACGAAGCCACUUGUGGUGACGGUAGGUAGAUAAGAAGCACCGGCUAACUACGUGCCAGCCGCCGCAGUAA